CCUACGGGUGACAGCAGUGGGGAAUAUUGGACAAUGGGCGAAAGCCUGAUCCAGCCAUGCCGCGUGUGUGAAGAAGGCCUUCGGGUUGUAAAGCACUUUCAGUGGGGAAGAAAGCCUUGGGGCUAAUACCCUCGAGGAAGGACAUCACCCACAGAAGAAGCACCGGCUAACUCCGUGCCAGCAGCCGCGGUAAUACGGAGGGUGCGAGCGUUAAUCGGAAUUACUGGGCGUAAAGCGCGCGUAGGCGGUCUGAUAAGCCGGUUGUGAAAGCCCCGGGCUCAACCUGGGAACGGCAUCCGGAACUGUCAGGCUAGAGUGCAGGAGAGGAAGGUAGAAUUCCCGGUGUAGCGGUGAAAUGCGUAGAGAUCGGGAGGAAUACCAGUGGCGAAGGCGGCCUUCUGGACUGACACUGACGCUGAGGUGCGAAAGCGUGGGUAGCAAACAGGAUUAGAUACCCGAGUAGUC
rnacentral:rRNA from 1 species